rnacentral:lncRNA from 1 species
GGGCGGUCGCGCCGGCUGGGCUCUGCGGGCUGGCACCCGGCCUGGGGCGGGACCCACCUCCGCUUUCGGGUCUUCAGGGAGCAGGGGAUCAACGGGGAGACCCUGCCACUGCUGACGGAGGAGCACCUGCUGAGCACCAUGGGGCUGAAGCUGGGGCCCGCCCUCAAGAUCCGGGCCCAGAGAGACCGAGGGGCUCACUAAGUUGACCAGGCUGGUCUUGAACUCCUGGCCUCAAGCCAUCCUCCCACCUCAGCCCCCCAAAGUGCUGGGAUUACAUGCAUGAGCCACCACAUCCAGCCUACCUAAAAUAUUGAAUGCUGUUAAUAAAUCUCCUGAGGCCAGCAUAAGAAGGUGAUGGGCAAAACUAAUGCAGGUAUGUUUUUCUGGCUUUUUCAUGUAUUGGGCCCAACUUUGAAAAGCACUUACUAUUAA